rnacentral:rRNA from 1 species
GCUAGUAAUGGCAGGUCAGCAUACUGCCGUGAAUACGUUCCCGGGCCUUGUACACACCGCCCGUCACACCAUGAGAGUUGGGAAUACCCGAAGCCUGUGAGCCAACCGUAAGGGGGCAGCAGUCGAAGGUAGAAUCAAUGAUUGGGGUGAAGUCGUAACAAGGUAGC